rnacentral:rRNA from 1 species
UACGUAGGGGGCAAGCGUUGUCCGGAUUUAUUGGGCGUAAAGAGCGUGUAGGCGGCCAGAUAGGUCCGUUGUGAAAACUCGAGGCUCAACCUCGAGACGCCGAUGGAAACCAUCUGGCUAGAGUCCGGAAGAGGAGAGCGGAAUUCCCGGUGUAGCGGUGAAAUGCGCAGAUAUCGGGAAGAACACCCGUGGCUAAGGCGGCUCUCUAGUACGGUACUGACGCUGAGACGCGAAAGCGUGGGGAGCGAACGGG